UACGCAUGCGCGAGUCCAGACUUGUCCAGACUUGUCUGGUGCAUGCGCAAAAGUUUUCAGUUAGACGCUACUGUCCAGCAUAAUAGUUUGAUACGGAGUUUCCCUGGCUUUAUUCCUUUAAAGUCUGUUUUUUUCCUUUGUGUGGUAUUGCUGUGCGUUUAUAACUCCGUAAGUAAUAAUAUUUAUUAUCAUAGUAGAUGUGUUUCAGAGUGUGUCAUAGCGUAAUUCAGUUUAUUUUACCUCAGGAAAAUAAUUGCAUCAAUAUAAGUACCAUAGAUGUAAUCCUCACGUAUAUGACGAAUUUAUUUGUUUAUUUGCAAUCAAAGAUGCUUAUUUAUUUGUUUAAGAGCAUCGCUUGUCAUAUGUGUCAAUGUAAAUAUUUAUUUAGUCUCUGACCAGCAUUUUAAUAAUUAUUACAAUGAGCACAGCGGAGCGCUAGAACAGCGCGCGCACACACAGUGUAAUUUGACACCACUUGUAAGCAGCAGCAGUCCCGGUCUGCUAAUAAAGCUGCAUAAGUGUUCAAAUGUGAAAAUAAGCUCUUGUUUAUUUUGUUUACUAUUUCAUCAGACAAUUAGUUCUAUGUAGAGUUCCUAUAUCAUACAGUAUAUUGUUUUAUCUUUGCAUCUGUCAUUUCUCAUUUCAUAUUAUAACAUGUAUAUUUAUCAUCUUUAUUUGUUUUCUGACAGAAACCACAUUUUGUGCAUAUUCACACAAAUAAACAUUCAGACUUGACAUGUUCACUCUGGAGUAGCUGCAGUUCUUUCUAACCGGAGAAAUAGGCCAGCUGAGUUCCAACCACCCAACUGCGCACAGAAUAUCCCACAAAUUGGUCCUUCGAGCCGGAUCGGGACAUCAGCUGCGCUAUGGCUACAUCCAGAGAUUAUUAUGAGGGAGAGCAAGUACCAGAUCCUCAUCCAAGUCGUACUCGGCGGGUACCCACCUACUUGGAGGAUUAUGUGCUUGAUUAUCCACAUCUGAUGCAUGCUCAUCCAUCACCAGCAGAUGGCACUCAAGGAAUACCUAAUGUAAGCCAGGACCCAUAUAAGGGCUAUAUUACUCCUCCUCCCUUGGAGAGAGACUUUGAAGGUGGAAACCUGCACCACUUGGAGGCACGAUGGAGAGAUUUAAGCAGUGAGAUGAGAGAGCUUCAGAUCAGAAUGGACAGUGCUAGACAAGCAUCCUUCGCUUCUAGAUCUCCUGUUUAUGCACAUUAUAAGAGCAUUUCUCAGGCUGAACUCAAGAACAUGGGAUUACAACCUUCUAUGACUGUAGCAUCAUCUCCACACUAUGAGGAAACACUCUAUCAUGAGCCCCCUAUGCAGCAGCGCCCACAAUCAAGCAUGCAGCCAAGUAAUAUAGCUCGUGUAGCUUCUCUGCCAGGGCCGAAACCUCAAAGGCUGCUUUCUGAACUCCGACGGGCAGACUCAUGGCCUCCUACAGCUGCCCAGCCUGCCCAUCCUCAGAUACAGCAUCAGCCAAGCCUGAUACAGCCUGCGCCUUCUCGUGUGCAGCCCCAACGUCAGCCAGUUGCUGCACAAUCUGUUCCAGUCUCACUGCCGCCACAGUACCAGCAGACAGUGCCAGCUCCAGUUCAGCCUGUGCCAAUUCAACCAACAAUGCAUCUGCAUCACCCUUUUCAACCACCACCUCCUCCUCCUCGGCCUGGACCACAAUCCCAACAUUAUCAUCCUACAAACAAUGUGACGCCUGGACUGAUGGAGAUGGUCAUUGCUUCUUCCUAUGGCAUACCAAAACCAAGGCUGGCAGUAUUUUCAUCAGGGAAGGAAAGUGAUUUCCUGAUGCUCAAGAAAGGGUUGGACAGCGUCCUUGGCCCACACAGACAUUUAACAGAGGACUAUAAGUAUCAAGUGCUUUUGGAUCACCUACAUCUGCCUGCUGCUUACCAGGUAGCUAAGAGGUAUGUCAACAGCCCAUAUCCUUACACCAGUGCCAUGCAGGCUCUUGAACAGAGAUACGGUCAACCAAGACAAUUAAUUCAGAGCGAGCUUAGAGCAAUCCUUAAUGCUCCAGCUAUUCGACCAGGUGAUGCACAGGGAUUUGAAGACUUUGCAGCAGCUGUUAACACACUUGUGGGCAUGUUGAACACAAUGGAAGGGCCAUCUAGAUAUGAGCUGCAGUGUGGUUCCCACGUUGACACUUUACUGACCAAACUUCCUGUCAGUUACAGAGACUCAUUCAUAGAAUACUGUCUCAACCAGCACAUCAUCAUGAGUGGCAGUUCUAGAACUUAUACAUUGUCAGAAUUUUCGGAGUGGCUGGAAAGGAAGUCCCAGGCCAUUCAGAUAUCUCGACGGGUAACAGGGCCAGUGCAACCAGAAGCCUUUCGGCGAGAACAGAAAUUCCUUCCUCACUCUAAAGCCAAGUCAGCCACAAUUCUCACAGGCAGUGAACAACCUCAAUCCAUCAAUUUGCCCUCUAGCUCAUCCACAGGAUCUAAAAUGGCAGCUACAGCUAAAAAGCAGGAUCGCUUUAAGCCCUUUUGUCCCUUCUGCAACAACCAUGAACAUUACCUCAAUGCUUGUCCAGCUUUUUGCAGGUUGAACCACACUCAAAGGGGAAGCUGGGUGAAGGACCACAAUAAAUGCUGGAGGUGUGGACGAGGUCACAAACCAGACAGCUGUACUCUUAAGAGAGCGUGUUCUACAUGUGGGGGACUCCACUUGCCCGUUCUACAUGAAGUUGCAGUUGCUGUGGAGAAUCAGAGCAUACUAACAGUGAGCACAACCAAUUCUCAAGUUUACUUGGAUCAAACCAGUCACUCAGGCAGAGUCAUGCUGAAAGUAGUUCCAGUAAGACUUCGCAGCGGCAAAAGGUUUCUGGACACUCAUGCAGUGCUGGACGACGGGUCUGAAAAAACAAUCAUACUACCUGCAGCAGCCAAACAUCUGCAUUUAAAAGGACCUGAGGAAGUGCUGGCUCUUAGAACAAUAAGACACGACCUUGUUCACCUGAGAGGUACCACCGUCUCCUUUGAGGUAUCAGCUCUGUCACACCUGAAUGUAAAACACCAGAUUCAUAAAGCUUUCACAGCUGCAGAUCUUAAUCUUGCUGAGCAGUCUUGUCCAGUAGACACGCUGAAGAGAAGAUAUGGACACCUCAGGGACAUUCCUUUACAAAGCUUCACCAAAGUACAGCCUCUGCUGCUCAUAGGAUCAGAUUAUCCGCAGCUGAUUACACCAAACUGCCCAAUUCGUAUGGGUCCGCUUGGUAGCCCUAUAGCAGUACACACACAGCUUGGCUGGACAGUGCAAGGACCAACAACCUUUUUCCAGCAACCCUCAAACAUAAGCUCAUGCCUUCACACCACAUUCCUUUCACCUACACAAGAGUUACGUCAACAUGUGGAGCGACUGUGGCAGCUUGACAUACUGCCAUCAAGGAACGAAAAAGAAGUAGUCCGUUCUAAACAAGAUAAAGCUGCACUUGCCAUGUUGGAACAGAAAACGGUACAAGUAACAGUUGAUGGUGUGAAUCGCUACGCUACUCCACUGCUGCGAAAAGUGGAUGCACCCAAAUUUCAGGCUUCACCAAAUGCUGUCAUGGCUCUUUUAAGAGCCACAGAACGCCGCUUGAUUAAGGACACUAACCUGGCAAAUGUGUAUAACAAGGAGAUUCACAAACUUGAAGAGGCUGGCUAUGCAGUCCGAAUAACCAGUGCAGAAGCAGCCAAUUCCACUGAGUCAUGGUUUGUUCCUCACCACAUUGUGCACCACAAUGGCAAAGACCGUGUGGUGUUUAAUUGCUCUUUCAGCCAUCUGCAGACAAACCUAAAUGACAAUCUACUGCCUGGUCCCACCCUUGGUCCACCACUGCUGGGAGUCCUGCUUAGAUUCAGACAGCAUGCUGUUGCCAUAAGUGGAGACAUACGAGCCAUGUUUCACCAGAUCAGACUGCUACCUGAAGAUCAGCCACUGCUCCGCUUUCUUUGGAGGGACAUGGAAAGAGAGCGCACCCCUGACAUCUAUGAAUGGAGAGUAUUACCAUUUGGGACAACAUGUAGUCCAUGCUGUGCCACAUAUGCUCUCCAGAGGCAUGUCAGAGACAACACUGAGGGCAAUGAAGAGGUAGUUGAGUCUAUCCAGCAGUCUUUCUAUGUGGACAACUGCUUACAGUCACUUCAGUGUCAGCAUCAGGCUAAGAAACUCAUUGACAAAAUGAGAACAUUGUUGAAUACUGGUGGGUUUGACAUAAGGCAGUGGGCUAGCAAUGUUCCUGAUGUGAUUGCUCACCUACCCUUCGAAGCAAAAUCAGAGGGCUGUGAACUGUGGUUGUCAGCUAAUAAAACUGAUCCACAAGAGUCAGCACUUGGAUUGAUGUGGCACUGUUCACAAGACACUUUCAGUUACAAACACAGACCUGUCUCUACAAAUGGUGAAACCUCAAUGAGAACUGUUUAUCGCAUCCUGGCAAGCCAGUAUGAUCCACUCGGAUACAUCAUACCCUUUACUACAAGGGCCAAAAUUCUGGUUCAAACAUUAUGGAAGAGGGUUGAAAGCUGGGAUGAACCUCUACCAGCUGAUCUCCUUUCAGAAUGGCAUGCAUGGGAAGAAGAGCUUCCAAACCUACAAAAAAUAACAAUACCUAGGUGUUACACACCAGCAUGCAACAACACAUCCUCUACUCUCGAUAUACAUGUCUUCUGUGAUGCUUCAGAGAAAGCAUAUGGCUCUGUGGCAUAUUUACGGGCAGAAACGGAUGACUCUAUCCAAGUUGUGUUUAUCAUGGCGAGGUCACGCGUGGCACCUAAGAAGCAACUCUCUGUGCCACGCCUUGAACUCUGUGCAGCAUUGUCUGGGGCUCAGCUUGCCAAAACACUGAACUCCGAACUUACUCUUAACAUCAGACAGACAGUCAUGUGGUCAGACUCAACCACCGUGUUACACUGGAUAAACUCUGAGUCAUGCACCUACAAAGUUUUCGUAGGCACACGAAUUGCAGAGAUUCAAGACCUUGUUGGAUGUGAAAACUGGAACUAUGUAGAUUCAGACAACAACCCUGCUGACGAUAUAACCCGGGGUAAGACCCUCACAGAUCUGUCCCACACCUGCCGAUGGAACCAAGGUCCAGAAUUUUUGCAACAGUCUCCAGACCACUGGCCUAUCCACCCCUCAGUGCCAGUGGAAGACUCAGAUGAACUCCGCAAAUCCAAAUUCUGCGGUAAUGUCUCAAUCAAUCAUACCUCUUUACCUAAUGUAGAUAACUGCAAAUCAUGGGACAACCUUAUCAUGACCACAUAUGAGUUUCUGCAUGGUGCUGCAGCACCCCCUAUGUCUGCCACAGACCGCAUAGAGACUGAAAUGGCUGUACUCAAACGUGCACAGACUGAAAGCUUUCCUGAUGAAGUACAUGCCCUUCAAGCCAACAAACCUGUGCAUUCAAACAGUCGAUUAAGUUCCCUUGCUCCAGCAUUAGACCCUGAUCUAGGCCUGAUUAGAGUUGGUGGUAGAUUACGGAAAGCUGCAACACUACCAGAGGAUGCACUUCACCCUAUUGUGCUGGCACCAGAACACCCCAUAACCAAACUGUUAAUCCAAGAUUUUGAUAACCGCCUGAUGCAUGCAGGUCCUGAAAGAGUCUUCGCUGAGUUAAGACGAACCUAUUGGGUUCUCAGAGGCCGUCAGAUGGUCAAAAAGCACCAGAGACAAUGUGCUGAAUGUAGGAAAUGGCGUGGCAAGCCUGUUAUACCUAAAAUGGCAGACAUACCAGUUUCUCGUCUGAGGAUUAAUCAGCCUCCAUUCUGGUCGACAGGGAUGGACUGUUUUGGUCCCUACGUGAUCAAAAUUGGCAGACGGCAGGAAAAGAGAUGGGGCAUAAUAUUUAAAUGUCUCACUACAAGGUGUGUACAUCUCGACUUGUUAUGCAACAUGGAUGCAGAUUCCUUUUUAUUAGCCCUCAGACGCUUCAUAGCAAGAAGAGGAAAGCCCUUUGAACUUAUCUGCGACAGAGGGACCAACUUCAGAGGGGGAGAGCGUGAGCUCUCUGAAGCUUUCGCAGAAAUGGAACCAUCCCUCCGAGAGCAGCUAGCCAACCAAAAAAUUUCCUUCAUAUUCAACCCACCGCACGCGCCUCACUUUGGAGGAGUAUGGGAGAGGGAAAUUAAAUCUGUCAAGGCUUCCCUCCAAGUUGUUCUGAAAGAUCAUACCUUCUCAGAGGAAGUCCUGAGUACAGUGUUGAUCGAGGUGGAGGGUAUCUUGAAUUCAAAGCCCCUGGGGUAUGUAUCGUCUGAUAUAGCGGAUCCAGACCCGAUUACCCCCAAUUUGCUGCUUAUGGGGCGGCGAGAUGCUUCCCUACCUCAGGCUGUCUAUGGACCCAGUAAUCUGCUUGGACGGCGUCGCUAUAGACACAGCCAAGUGAUCGCCGAUCACUUCUGGACCCAGUUCCUCAGAAACUACCUACCAAGUCUUCAACUUCGACAGAAGUGGCAGAACAUCACACCAAACCUAGCAGUCGAUCAGGUUGUAUUGAUUGCAGAUUCCCAACUUCCCAGAGCCCAAUGGCCUGUCGGAAAGAUAACCAGAGUCCUACCAAGUGAUGAUGGUGCAAUCAGAGCUGCUGAAGUGGACAUUAAAGGCAACACAUACAUCCGCCCUAUGGCCAAACUGAUUGUGCUACCAGAAAUGCCUGAAGAUUAGCUUGUAGCACCAGUCGCUAAGCUGGACAUUUUGUGGAGUUACAAAUUUCCUGUGUAAAUUUGUGGGGCGGCUGUACAAAAUUCCCUGCUUUACGCAUGCGCGAGUCCAGACUUGUCCAGACUUGUCUGGUGCAUGCGCAAAAGUUUUCAGUUAGACGCUACUGUCCAGCAUAAUAGUUUGAUACGGAGUUUCCCUGGCUUUAUUCCUUUAAAGUCUGUUUUUUUCCUUUGUGUGGUAUUGCUGUGCGUUUAUAACUCCAAACCACAUUUUGUGCAUAUUCACACAAAUAAACAUUCAGACUUGACAUGUUCACUCUGGAGUAGCUGCAGUUCUUUCUAACCGGAGAAAUAGGCCAGCUGAGUUCCAACCACCCAACUGCGCACAGAAUAUCCCACAAUACUCUUAACUCUUAAUUCAUCAAAGAGUUCUGAAAAAAGUAUCAAAGGCUAAAAAAAUUUUUUCUAUUGCACAGCCUUUUAAUAAAUCAGCAUAUGAGAAUGAUUUCUGAAGGAUCAUGUGAAGCUGAACACUGUAGUAAUGA